UGUGAGCUCGAUGAGUAGGGCGGGACACGUGGUAUCCUGUCUGAAUAUGGGGGGACCAUCCUCCAAGGCUAAAUACUCCUGACUGACCGAUAGUGAACCAGUACCGUGAGGGAAAGGCGAAAAGAACCCCGGCGAGGGGAGUGAAAAAGAACCUGAAACCGUGUACGUACAAGCAGUGGGAGCACGCUUAGGCGUGUGACUGCGUACCUUUUGUAUAAUGGGUCAGCGACUUAUAUUCUGUAGCAAGGUUAACCGAAUAGGGGAGCCGAAGGGAAACCGAGUCUUAACUGGGCGUUAAGUUGCAGGGUAUAGACCCGAAACCCGGUGAUCUAGCCAUGGGCAGGUUGAAGGUUGGGUAACACUAACUGGAGGACCGAACCGACUAAUGUUGAAAAAUUAGCGGAUGACUUGUGGCUGGGGGUGAAAGGCCAAUCAAACCGGGAGAUAGCUGGUUCUCCCCGAAAGCUAUUUAGGUAGCGCCUCGUGAAUUCAUCUCCGGGGGUAGAGCACUGUUUCGGCAAGGGGGUCAUCCCGACUUACCAACCCGAUGCAAACUGCGAAUACCGGAGAAUGUUAUCACGGGAGACACACGGCGGGUGCUAACGUCCGUCGUGAAGAGGGAAACAACCCAGACCGCCAGCUAAGGUCCCAAAGUCAUGGUUAAGUGGGAAACGAUGUGGGAAGGCCCAGACAGCCAGGAUGUUGGCUUAGAAGCAGCCAUCAUUUAAAGAAAGCGUAAUAGCUCACUGGUCGAGUCGGCCUGCGCGGAAGAUGUAACGGGGCUAAACCAUGCACCGAAGCUGCGGCAGCGACACUAUGUGUUGUUGGGUAGGGGAGCGUUCUGUAAGCCUGUGAAGGUGUACUGUGAGGUAUGCUGGAGGUAUCAGAAGUGCGAAUGCUGACAUAAGUAACGAUAAAGCGGGUGAAAAGCCCGCUCGCCGGAAGACCAAGGGUUCCUGUCCAACGUUAAUCGGGGCAGGGUGAGUCGACCCCUAAGGCGAGGCCGAAAGGCGUAGUCGAUGGGAAACAGGUUAAUAUUCCUGUACUUGGUGUUACUGCGAAGGGGGGACGGAGAAGGCUAUGUUGGCCGGGCGACGGUUGUCCCGGUUUAAGCGUGUAGGCUGGUUUUCCAGGCAAAUCCGGAAAAUCAAGGCUGAGGCGUGAUGACGAGGCACUACGGUGCUGAAGCAACAAAUGCCCUGCUUCCAGGAAAAGCCUCUAAGCAUCAGGUAACAUCAAAUCGUACCCCAAACCGACACAGGUGGUCAGGUAGAGAAUACCAAGGCGCUUGAGAGAACUCGGGUGAAGGAACUAGGCAAAAUGGUGCCGUAACUUCGGGAGAAGGCACGCUGAUAUGUAGGUGAAGCGACUUGCUCGUGGAGCUGAAAUCAGUCGAAGAUACCAGCUGGCUGCAACUGUUUAUUAAAAACACAGCACUGUGCAAACACGAAAGUGGACGUAUACGGUGUGACGCCUGCCCGGUGCCGGAAGGUUAAUUGAUGGGGUUAGCGCAAGCGAAGCUCUUGAUCGAAGCCCCGGUAAACGGCGGCCGUAACUAUAACGGUCCUAAGGUAGCGAAAUUCCUUGUCGGGUAAGUUCCGACCUGCACGAAUGGCGUAAUGAUGGCCAGGCUGUCUCCACCCGAGACUCAGUGAAAUUGAACUCGCUGUGAAGAUGCAGUGUACCCGCGGCAAGACGGAAAGACCCCGUGAACCUUUACUAUAGCUUGACACUGAACAUUGAGCCUUGAUGUGUAGGAUAGGUGGGAGGCUUUGAAGUGUGGACGCCAGUCUGCAUGGAGCCGACCUUGAAAUACCACCCUUUAAUGUUUGAUGUUCUAACGUGGACCCGUAAUCCGGGUUGCGGACAGUGUCUGGUGGGUAGUUUGACUGGGGCGGUCUCCUCCUAAAGAGUAACGGAGGAGCACGAAGGUUGGCUAAUCCUGGUCGGACAUCAGGAGGUUAGUGCAAUGGCAUAAGCCAGCUUGACUGCGAGCGUGACGGCGCGAGCAGGUGCGAAAGCAGGUCAUAGUGAUCCGGUGGUUCUGAAUGGAAGGGCCAUCGCUCAACGGAUAAAAGGUACUCCGGGGAUAACAGGCUGAUACCGCCCAAGAGUUCAUAUCGACGGCGGUGUUUGGCACCUCGAUGUCGGCUCAUCACAUCCUGGGGCUGAAGUAGGUCCCAAGGGUAUGGCUGUUCGCCAUUUAAAGUGGUACGCGAGCUGGGUUUAGAACGUCGUGAGACAGUUCGGUCCCUAUCUGCCGUGGGCGCUGGAGAAUUGAGGGGGGCUGCUCCUAGUACGAGAGGACCGGAGUGGACGCAUCACUGGUGUUCGGGUUGUCAUGCCAAUGGCACUGCCCGGUAGCUAAAUGCGGAAGAGAUAAGUGCUGAAAGCAUCUAAGCACGAAACUUGCCCCGAGAUGAGUUCUCCCUGACUCCUUGAGAGUCCUGAAGGAACGUUGAAGACGACGACGUUGAUAGGCCGGGUGUGUAAGCGCAGCGAUGCGUUGAGCUAACCGGUACUAAUGAACCGUGAGGCUUAACCUU
rnacentral:rRNA from 1 species